rnacentral:lncRNA from 1 species
GAGAAGAUAAUAGAGUUUUUUCCAACUUAAAGUGACAAUCGAAAUGGGAUUUAUUUAUUUAAAAUUUAGAGUAACCACUUGGGAUAAUUUAUGAUGACCCAAAUCACCGGUUUAAAAUCUCGAAUCGAGAAAGGUUGACUCUAUUUACAGUCCGUGAACACAGAAAUUCUGGUAAGGAAUUCGAUUAACCCGGGAGAAGGUGUUAGGCACUCCCGAGUUCCGUAGUUCUAGCACGGUCGCGUUGAUCAUACCUGGCUUAUUAAAUUGUUUAAUUAUUUAUUUUGGAAUCUAUAUGCAUUUUUCACUUUUAAUUAGA